rnacentral:ncRNA from 2 species
UCUUUAUCAAGAGUGGUGGAGGGAUAAGGCCCUGUGAAACCACAGCAACCGGUCCCCUUCGCCAAGGCUGCGGCGGACGUCAGGUGCUAAUUCCUUCCUGCUUUCGGCUUUGCGCCGCGGCGGGAAAGAUGGGGA